GUAUGGCUGUUCGCCAUUUAAAGUGGUACGCGAGCUGGGUUUAGAACGUCGUGAGACAGUUCGGUCCCUAUCUGCCGUGGGCGCUGGAGAACUGAGGGGGGCUGCUCCUAGUACGAGAGGACCGGAGUGGACGCAUCACUGGUGUUCGGGUUGUCAUGCCAAUGGCACUGCCCGGUAGCUAAAUGCGGAAGAGAUAAGUGCUGAAAGCAUCUAAGCACGAAACUUGCCCCGAGAUGAGUUCUCCCUGACUCCUUGAGAGUCCUGAAGGAACGUUGAAGACGACGACGUUGAUAGGCCGGGUGUGUAAGCGCAGCGAUGCGUUGAGCUAACCGGUACUAAUGAACCGUGAGGCUUAACCUU
rnacentral:rRNA from 1 species